rnacentral:rRNA from 1 species
UACGUAGGGGGCUAGCGUUGUCCGGAAUCAUUGGGCGUAAAGAGCGUGUAGGCGGCUCGGUAAGUCCGCUGUGAAAGUCCAGGGCUCAACCCUGGAAUGCCAGUGGAAACUGUCGAGCUAGAGUCCGGAAGGGGCGAGUGGAAUUCCUGGUGUAGCGGUGAAAUGCGCAGAUAUCAGGAGGAACACCAAUGGCGAAGGCAGCUCGCUGGGACGGUACUGACGCUGAGACGCGAAAGCGUGGGGAGCAAACAGG